rnacentral:lncRNA from 1 species
UUUCGGCAAAGGUUAUUCGCAACAAGCAAACAAAUUUUUCAGAGGGUUAUGGUUUUAUUGAGUUUGUUAGUCAUGCUGCUGCAGAGAGGGUUUUGCAGACUUUUAAUGGCACCCAAAUGCCAAGCACUGAGCAAAACUUCAGACUGAAUUGGGCAACCUAUGGGGCUGGUGAGAGGCGUCGAGAUGAUGGUCCUGAUUUUACAAUUUUUGUGGGAGGUUUGGCUGCCGAUGUAACUGACUAUAUGCUACAAGAAACAUUUAGAGCCGUCUACUCGUCAGUGAAGGGUGCUAAAGUGGUCACUGAUAGAACCACUGGACGCUCUAAGGGAUAUGGUUUUGUGAGAUUUGGGAAUGAAAGUGAACAAUUGCGUUCCAUGACUGAAAUGAAUGGUGUGCUCUGCUCUACUAGACGUAUGCGGAUUGGGCCAGCCGCCACAAAGAAACCUGCCACUGGCCAGCAAUAUCAGAAAGGUAUGUUUGCAGUUGGUUAUGCGGCUAAUGUUUUGCUGUAAUUUCCGUGAGAAAGCUGUUUGCCUUUUGCUAUUAUCUGUUAAAUGUUUGUCCUCUACCAUAUCGUGCUUUAUGGUAAAGCUUUACGACCAUUUGAAGUCAUAAGUUGAAGUUUGUUGAUUAUAUGCAACUAUUUUAGAGGUGAAGUUGUCAAAUGGUAUUCUAAAUUGACAUUCAUUCAGUUAAGCAAGUGAAGAUAUGCGGAAUUUACGAAGUCAUUUCCUUCCAGUAAUUGCCUUUGUAAACUUGGGAGCAGUUAAUUCAAUUGAAACAUGCAUAAACUUAUAUAGAACUCAUGUUGUCUUAAAGCAGGACACCAAGAGGCUCUCAUUUUGAGGGAGCCUGGAACUGAUUUCGGGUGAAAUGAUUCCACUUUAAUGCGUGGCCUCAUUUUAGGUCAGUGAUUUUGUUUACGUCAGAAGAAUCUUCACUUUCUCGUGGCAUUUAUUUCCUACAUUCCUGAAUUUCUUUUCCAGUUCCUUAUAUGUGGAGAGUACCAGUUAUGUUCCAUUUUCCAAAGUUCUUGUCCUUCUUUCUUUAAUUUACGUAAAUCCAAAAGAACUGUUGUUUAUGUUGUCGUGGACCAAUUUCCUUUACAGUUACAUUUUUUCCUUUGAUUCUGUCGGUUUGCAAGUGUGCUUUAUUUAUUAAGAAAGAAAGCCUGCUAAACUUCAGACUUGAAGGAACAGCCUAGCUUGAAGCCGCACAAAGUGGUCGUUGAUACAGUUGCUUUCAUGUUAAUGUGCACUGUUAUCUAUAUUUAAACUGGUCUAUUUCUGCUUUUAGUCCCAUUUGUGAUUGGCUAGUUUAAAUGUUGCUUCACUUUCAGGAUACUCUUGGAUCAUUGAUUCAGGAACCACAGAUCAUAUGACCGGCCAGUCCAAUUUAUAUACUUCCUAUAACCUUUGUUCAGGUAGACAGAAAGUUAAGAUUGCUGAUGGUACACUCUCCUCUGUUGCUGGAAAAGGGCGUAUUCCUAUCUCAAAAAAUCUUUCCCUAGAUCAUGCUUUACAUGUUCCAAAAUUUUCUUGCAAUUUGCUUUCAAUUAGCAAAAUAACCAAAGAUCUGAAUUGUGUUGCUAAGUUUUUUCCUUCCUACUGUGAAUUUCAGGACAUGCGCACGGGAAAGGUGAUUGGCACUGGUAAGGAGAUUGAUGGACUCUACUACUUUGAAAGUGAAUCUGCAAGUUCAAGUAAUCUGUCUUACACACACUUGAGCUCUUCUAAUUCGAGUUCCAACAAAGAAAUCGAACUUUGGCAUAAAAGGUUAGGCCACCCAAUUUUUCCAUAUUUGAAAAAACUAUUUCCUAGUUUAUUCAAGGACAAAAACCACCAGGACUUUCAAUGUGAAGUGUGCGAGUUAGCCAAACAUCGAGUUCGUUUUUCUGCCCAACCACAUAAGGAGUCACAACCUUUCUCUCUAAUCCAUAGUGAUAUUUGGGGUCCUUCACGUAUCAAUAACAUUUCUGGGGCUAGGUGGUUUAUUACCUUCAUUGAUGAUCAUACUCGUGUUAGUUGGGUCUAUUUGCUCAAAGAAAAAUCUGAAGCUGCCAGAACAUUUCAAGAUUUCCAUAAAAUGAUUAAGACCCAAUUCCAAGCCAACAUUCAAAUUCUUCACACUGAUAAUGGAAGAGAGUAUUUUUCCACAAUACUUGGUUCUUACCUAACAAAUCAUGGGAUUGUACAUCAUAGUUCUUGUGUAGAUACACCCCAACCAAAUAGGAUUGCUGAAAGGAAAAACAAACAUCUACUUGAGGUUGCUAGAGCCUUAACAUUUACCAUGGCAGUACCUAAAACCUUUUGGGGUGAAGCUGUUCUUACUGCCACUUAUCUUAUAAACAGGAUGCCAUCAAGGGUCUUAAAUUUCAAAACUCCACUUGACACAUUAAAAAAUUUAUAUCCUUUAUCAAAACUGUUUUGCUCUCUCACCCCCAAAGUUUUUGGUUGUGUAGCAUUUGUCCAUAUUCAUAACCAAAAUCGAGGGAAACUAGAUCCAAGAGCCCUUCGGUGUGUUUUUUUAGGAUAUUCUCCUACCCAAAAAGGUUACAAAUGUUACCAUCCUCCAACUCGAAAAUUUUUCGUGUUAAUGGACGUUACUUUUUUUGAGAAUACUUCUUUCUUUCCCAAAACUUCUCUUCAGGGGAAGACUAGACAUGACAAAGAUGAAGAUAUGUUUUGGUCUACUCUAGAUGUGGUUAAUUCCAAUACCCAUGAGUCUUUAUUUCCUAGCGUUUCAGAGGAUUCUUCCCAGCCUCUGGCUCCAAAUAUAUUCCUAAAUGUCCCUAAACCUCAAGAAAACAUUUCCUCCGAGAUGCCAAAAUCUUCAUCAUCUAGUGUAGAUCAUCCUAAUCCUAAUAAUUCCCAACCUUUGUCUUCACCAAUUGAAACUCCAUUUAAGUGUGUGCAAGAUAGAGACUAUGAACUAAAGGUUUACUCAAGAAGGAACAAGAUACAGCCUCCUCAACUCCACCAGUCACCUUUGCCGAGUGCUGAAAAUUUGGAAAACAAGGGUAACUCUUUUGUAUCUAACCUUCAAAAAAAUGUUGAUUCAGUUGAGUUUUCUGAUCUUGAUCUUCCGUCUUGCACUUUGCAUCCAAUUUCAAACUUUGUUUCUUGCCACAUGCUGUCCUCUUCUUUUAAAGCCUUUGUUACUGGUAUGUUAUCUUCUUAUUCUGUCCCAAGAAACAUACAGGAAGAUCUUAUGAUUCCAAAGUGGAGAGAAGCUGUUUAUGAAGAAAUGAGAGCAUUACAAAAGAAUGACACAUGGCAACUUGUGAACCAUCCACCUGAAAAGAAACCAGCUGGAUGCAAAUGGGUUUUUACGACCAAACACAAAGCUGAUGGCACGGUCGAGAGAUAUAAAGCAAGACUUGUGGCAAAAGGAUUCUCGCAAACUUAUGGAAUCGACUACCAAGAAACCUUUGCACCUGUAGUGGCCAGGUCAAGUGCAGAAGCUGAGUUUAGAGCAAUGGCUCAAGGAAUAUGUGAGCUAAUAUGGUUGAAGAUUUUCUUGAUGGCAUUACAUAUGGUUCAAAAGGAAACAAUGAGACUUUACUGUGACAACAAGGCUGCCAUCAGUAUUGCUCACAAUCCUGUACAACACGACAGGACUAAACACAUUGAAAUUGAUAGACAUUUCAUCAAAGAGAAGAUUGAAAGUGGUCAAAUUUGUAUUCCCUAUGUUACCAGCAGAAAACAGCAAGUAGAUGUUCUCACUGAAGGCCUACCAAAAAAAAAAAUUAGGAGUUAUUGGAGGAAUUAAUUUAGGAGUUAUUUUCACAAAAAAAAAAAAAAAAAAUCCGGAGUUAUUUUAGGAAAGACUAGAUUAUGUUUUUUUCUUAUAAAUAUACCAAGACCCAAUUUUAUUUCUUGUGUUAGCAAGCUGGGAAUGAUAGAUAUCUUUGAGCCAGCUUGAGGGGGAGUGUGGAAAAUAUCUUUUACUUAGCUGUAAUUCGCAUAUUUAUAGGAGUUUUAAAUUAGCAACAUUAGAGGAAUUAAUUUAGUAGUUAUUUUCGCUCAAAAAAAAAAUUAGGAGUUAUUUUAGGAAAGACUAGAUUAUGUUUUUUUCUUAUAAAUAUACCAAGACCCAAUUUUAUUUCUUGUGUUAUCAAGCUGGGAAUGAUAGAUAUCUUUGAGCUUGCUUGAGGGGGAGUGUGGAAAAUAUCUUUUACUUAGCUGUAAUUAGCAUAAUAUGUAACUGGAUUGAUUAGAAAGAAAAAUAGUGAGAAAUUAUUCUUUUCCACAGAACUCAUGUUGUCUUAAAGCAGGACACCAAGAGGCUCUCAUUUUGAGGGAGCCUGGAUGAUGUCCGCGAGAAAAUCAAUCUGGCAGUGUCAGGAAUCCCUUAUGGGGAAGAGUGCAAGCGCUGUAAGGUUAUUGUGACAAGUAGACGUUUAGAUGUGUGCAGCAAAAUGUCUGAUGUAACUGUACAGAUUGAAGAACUCGGUGAAGAAGAGAGGUUGAAGCUGUUCAAGCAAAUAGCAAGACUUCCUGAUUCUGAAGCUUUUGAGGGAGCAGCUAAGGUGAUUGUAAAAGUGUGUGGAUCACUGCCCAGUGCAAUUGCAAUAGUUGCAGGAGCACUGCAGGGUAAGCUUGCUAAUGAGUCGAAUGAGAGUCUUGUCAAUACCUGGAAUGAUACUGUGGAGGAGGUUAUCAGAGAAUGCAGCUAAGGUGAUUGUGAAAGCGUGUGGAUCACUGCCCAAUGCCCAAUGCCCAAUGCAAUUGAAAUAGCUCUUGAUACUUCCUAUGGAUGCAAGUAGUGCACCAAAAUUGGUUGAAGUAAGAGCAGAAACACAGUGGCUUGAAACUCUCGAGUGGGAAGAUGAUGAUGAUUACUGCAAAGGCCGCCUGCUAUCGCUUGCACAAAAGAGUGCACUUCAAAAAAUGUGAGUUCUUAGCUCUGGCAUUUCUUAUUUUGAUUUAUUACAACAUUCUUGCAAAACUGAUAAAUUUCAUAUUAGGAUAUUUUCUAAUCCUACUGUCACUCUUCAAACUAUACUUGACAGUUAACAUUUAGUAGGAUAAAAAAUCCCACAACAGCUGCAAAUUGAAAGUCACAACAUCUCAAUUCUUAAAAUAUCUACUCAUGUAAAGAUUGAUCUUUAGCUCUUGAUACUUGAUCCUCUUUACCAGGGACUUUUUGAAAGCUUGGAACCUGGGAUGUCCAGUUUCCCAAAAAGCUUCCCUAGAAUUACUGAAGCAACAAGCCACCGUAAAAGUUUAGAAGUUAAAAGACUCCUCAAAUGGUGCAUCCUCCAACAUGUUUCUCAGAUGGAGAUGGGAUUCUCUGAGUUUCACUACAUGUCCUGAAAUCCUGAUGCAACAUUGAAGCCAUAAGUUGAAGUUUGUUGAUUAUAUGCAACUAUCUUAGAGGUGAAGUUGUCAAACGGUAUUCUAGAUUGACAUUCAUUCAGUUAAGCAAUUGAAGAUAAGACUUGGGAGCAUUUAAUUCAAUUGAAACAUGCAUAAACUUAUAUAGAACUCAUGUUGUCUUAAAGCAGGACACCAAGAGGCUCUCAUUUUGAGGGAGCCUGGAACUGAUUUCGGGUGAAAUGAUUCCACUUUAAUGCGUGGCCUCAUUUUAGGUCAGUGAUUUUGUUUACGUCAGAAGAAUCUUCACUUUCUCGUGGCAUUUAUUUCCUACAUUCCUGAAUUUCUUUUCCAGUUCCUUACAUGUGGAGAGUACCAGUUAUGUUCCAUUUUCCAAAGUUCUUGUCCUUCUUUCUUUAAUCUACGCAAAUCCAAAAAAACUGUUGUUUAUUUUGUCGUGGACCAAGUUCCUUUACAGUUACAUUUUUUCCUUUGAUUCUGUCGGUUUGCAAGUGUGCUUUAUUUAUUAAGAAAGAAAGCCUGCUAAAGUUCAGACUUGAAGGAACAGCAUAGCUUGAAGCCGCACAAAGUGGUCGUUGAUACAAUUGCUUUCAUGUUAAUGUGCACUGUUAGCUAAUCCCUCGUUGAUAGGUUGUGCCAUUGGCCUUGUAAUUUUGUGUUUCCUGCCUAUUCUUCUCGUCUACUUAUGUGUCCAGCUAGGGGGUGAAGACUUGGAAUGCACUUAUUUAACAUUCUCUAUUAUAUGCACAUUUACUGGAUUUAUUUCAGAAUAUGCAUAGUUGUUCCUGCACAAUAAAUCAAGAAAAAACACAUGGUAAUUAUUUUAUCCAACUGUUGGUGCUUAAUUUUUCAUGCAACUGUAAGAUAAAUGUAUUUGUUUGUUCUCUUAAUUUGCCUGUGCUGUUCCACCUACAAGUCCGUUGAUAUUAGAGAACAAAAAUCGAUUGAUGCUGCAUAAUCUGUUUGUGUGCAAUGUGUGAAUUCAUUUGGAAGUAUCAAUCUGUAUGAUUGGAUUAUUAUGAAUAGGAGAGCAGAUAAGCUACUAUGCUCCAUGAUGAAACUUUUCCUUGGUUAUAGUUGGCAUUUCUCAGUUUUUUUCUUUAAUUUUUUUCUAUGUAUUAAUUCUGUUUUCUCUAAUUCUAAUUAACCUGUGCUGUGUAUUAAAUGUCUUACAAUCAAAUUAAUCGUUAGUGUUUGUUAUUUACAAAUAACAAGUCUUCUCGGUUUGAUGUAUGAUUGUAAUAAUGCUGAGAUCACCAUGUAAGACCUUCAAAAAUGUUCAUCAUGUUUAGUCAUUUGAAUGUGUGAAAAUAAAUGUGGUUUGGAAAUGACAGAACAGUUACAUGCCUAGGCAUGUGGGGACAGGAAUUCUGGUUAAGAACCUUGCUUUAUUUGUCAUUUGCAGCUCCUUAUCAGAAUACCCAAGGAAGCCGGGGCGAGAAUGAUCCAAAUAAUACAACAGUGCGUAGUUUAUUUUAAGUUGAUACUAGUUAAGUUGUUGCUAUACUUGAGUGACAUUUCAACCUCUUGAGUGCAGAUAUUUGUUGGGGGUUUGGAUCCUAGUGUUACAGAUGACAUUUUGAAAACAGUUUUUGGUCAAUAUGGUGAGUUAGUUCAUGUGAAAUUACCAGUGGGCAAGCGCUGCGGGUUUGUUCAGUUUGCUAAGAGGUAAGCAGUGGACUAUUUUUGUUUGGUAUAUCCUGCGUACAAUCUGUUUUCUUGAACUUUUAAUGCUUCAUGUGAUGUACUUUAGAACUUGUGCGGAGCAAGCGCUAUCAGUUUUGAAUGGCACCCAAUUAGGAGGACAAAGCAUUAGACAGUCAUGGGGGCGUAGUUCCUUCAAACAAACAGGUAAUGUGAUCAUCAUCAAGUAUUUCAGCAUUCAUGGGCAAAGUCACUGAUUUCUUUCAGAAUGAUGCCCUGAAGUUCUGGAAAAUCUGUUUGUUCUUUUCCAAAGCUUUGGAGCAGAAUCUGGAACAACCCGUCGUCAUAGUUACUUAGCAAGGAAGUAACUAUGUCGGUAUAGAGAUUCUGAAUGUGUUCCCUGGCAGCAUCAGGCAGCGUUCCUUCUUCACCUUCUAACAGUCUUCUGAACCUCUGUGAAAAUGGCCUGAAAAUGAUGUCCAUGGCUCCUCUUUCAGUAAUCUACCAAAAGAAGUUACAUGAUUCUGAAUUUUUCCAACGCUAGCUACUUGCUCCUGCACUUGAUCUAUACAAGGUUUAACUUCAUGAAUCACAAGCACAAAUAUUUAAGGAAAAUCAUCAACGGCUAACCCCAUAUUUACUCUAUUCUCAAAAAUACUAAUAAAAUUUUGAAUUUGUUUGAUUUUACACUAAUAUAUGCCAAUAUGCAAUUUGUAUCAAUCAUUUACCAAAAAGAUAAAAUUAUGUUCACAAAAUGACAAAACAUAAAGAAAUAGGUGGUCGUUUUCGUAAGGGUAAUUCUGCUUAUUUUGGCGGAUGAUUGAAAAAAAUUGUAAAUAGUAUGUGCAAAAUCGAAUAAUUUUCACUUUUUAUAGAAAUUUUUUUAUAUCAUGGUAAUUUUUACGUGGAUGGCCAAUGAUUUCUCAAAGAUUUAAUAAGUCAAUAUUAUAUUUUCCUUCGACAUAUACAUGAACGUAUCAAGAAAUUAAGGUGAUGAGAUGAUGUUGAUUUACAAUAAGAAAGAAAGAAGGCAAAUUGAAGAAAAUGGAGGGUUGAUGUACAAUCAGGCAUAAAAAAAAAAAAUAUGGUGUAUGACUGACAAAAAGCCAAAAGUUAUGGUACCACUUGCAAUUAAAGAAAACAAUUUGAAGUAUUUAAUUAAUUACUUUGUCAUGUGUCUUCAGUUAAUCAAACAUUUGUAUUCCUGGUACUUAUUUAAUCUGGAGUAAGAUGACUUCAUGAAGAAAUUAAAAACAAAUAUAUUCAAUUUCCCAAGUAAAGUUUAAUGAAUUUUUAGUUGGAGCAAAUUAAUAAUAUGCCCUUGGCCGUACAGCAGGAGGGUUGAUGUACAAUCAGGCAUAAAAAAAAAAAAUAUGGUGUAUGACUGACAAAAAGCCAAAAGUUAUGGUACCACUUGCAAUUAAAGAAAACAAUUUGAAGUAUUUAAUUAAUUACUUUGUCAUGUGUCUUCAGUUAAUCAAACAUUUGUAUUCCUGGUACUUAUUUAAUCUGGAGUAAGAUGACUUCAUGAAGAAAUUAAAAACAAAUAUAUUCAAUUUCCCAAGUAAAGUUUAAUGAAUUUUUAGUUGGAGCAAAUUAAUAAUAUGCUACCACUUGCAAUUAAUAAAAUGCUAACCUAUCUAUCAGGUAGUAUUAGGCACUGUUCACGAAAGCGCGAGGACUGGAAUCGUUGACUGUGCUGCCACAAGAUGAAUGCUAAGGAAGAAGCACUAGAGUUUCCGAGGGAAGUAAAGUAACAGACAAAGUCGGAGUUGUUAGUAAUAGUACCAUGAUGCCGAACUAACCAACUUUUUCUUGAAAAUUAAUCUUAAAUUAAUGAAGACCUACUGCUUUGAGAUUACAAAAAGAGCAUUAUCAUGCAUGGAAUCUUUGAAGCUGUCCAGUGAAAAUAAGCAAGUUCUUACUGCCCUUUACAAAUUCUUGAACUUGCAGUGCAAUCUUGCAGACUAGAAAAUAUAUCAUUUUGCUAAUUGUGUGUACUGACCGUGACACAUCUACAAGGAAGAACGAAAAAGGGUGCAAAAUCGAUCCUCAAUUUCCAAUUUAGUGAAAUAGUUUUUUCUUCUACCACAGCAGUGAUAUUAUGAAUGCCAUUGAACUUAACAAAUGAAUGAUCAAAUUUGUGUGCAGCAAGUGGGCAUUGAAAGGCCAAUAUAAGGAAUCUCUCAACUUGCCUUUGCGAAUUCUUGCCAUUUUUCAGGUACCUUUUGCUUGUUUUCUUCAUGCUUUCCUCGUUGGUUCUUUGUAAUUUCUUUUGGAAAUUGUAAUUACUUUUCUUUUUCCCCCCUAAUACGAGAUUUUUCAUUUUUCUCAAAAUAAUCUUUUCCAACUUUUCUCCACAGAAAUGUGCUGGGAAUGGAUUCUAGCAAAUAUUGUUACUCCUGUAGCAUCACGCACUACCGACCUAUUUGGAAACUCUGUCGAGGAGCAGAUCCGUUACCUGUUAGAUUAUGAUGACAACCUGGAAGCUUUCAGGACACGAGCAGGACAGCUGGAAGCUCGGAAAAAUGAUGUUCUGGGCCGGGUGGAUGAAGCCAGAGACAACAAUGAGAAGAUCAAAGAAUAGAUAAGGAGAUGAUGGAAGAAAAAAUUGAGAAGAACAAGGGUCCCUGCCAUACAUGGCGGCUAGAUUGGCGCUUCCGUCGUCAGUUGAGUGAACUUGCCAAUGUUAAGAUUACUAAAAUUGAUGAGCUCAUGGCUUCAAGAGAUAUUCAUAGUGUAUCAGAUCUCACACAAUCUGCAGAUUUAGGAGACUUGGCCACCCCUGAUUAUGUACCACUGGAAAGCUCAUCCAAGGCAUUAAAUUCGAUCAUGAAACUCCUGAAGGAUGAGAAGGUCAACAUCAUUGGAGUACAAGGCCCCGGAGGAGUCGGGAAAUCAACAUUGAUGGAACAAUUGGCAAAGCAAAUUGACACCAUUGCUCCUUAUGAUAAAGCCCAUGUGAUUGUUGCUGAAUCUUCCGACUUGAGAAGAAUUCAGGAUAAAAUUGCAGAGCUUCUGAAAUUCAAAAUUGAAGAAGAAAAUGAACUUCAGAGAAGAGCAACCUUGGCAAAGAGAUUGAGGGAGAGGACUAAGAAGGUACUUAUAAUCUUAGAUGAUGUCCGCGAGAAAAUCAAUCUGGCAGUGUCAGGAAUCCCUUAUGGGGAAGAAGGAAAUCGCUGUAAGGUUAUUGUGACAAGUAGACGUUUAGAUGUGUGCAGCAAAAUGUCUGAUGUAACUGUACAGAUUGAAGAACUUGGUGAAGAAGACAGAUUGAAGCUGUUCAAGCAAAUAGCAAGACUUCCUGAUUCUGAAGCUUUUGAGGGAGCAGCUAAGGUGAUUGUAAAAGCGUGUGGAUCACUGCCCAUUGUAAUAGCUCAGAGGUUAUCAGAGAAUACAGCUAAGGUGAUUGUAAAAGCGUGUGGAUCACUGCCCAUUGUAAUAGCUCUUGAUACUUGAUCCUCUUUACCAGGGAUGAUAUUUAAAAGCUGAAACUUGAAGUUGUUAACAUCUUUUGAGAAGUGGAGGCUCUCUUGUUCAACAAGGACGCCGGUGGAAAACUGUUCAUCGAUUGUGUCUGGUGUCUGGCUUUUUUGUUGUUUUCAGCAGCUUUAAAUUGAAUAGUUGAUUGUGUUUCCUUGGUCAUUUGUAUCAUGUACUGUCGACCAUUUUCUUUUACCUGUACAACAUACUAUGUCCGUUUUUGGGUAUCUGAAACGAUAAUUUUAAUCACUAUGUAUGAAAUUCCUGUCAUAAAUUUAUGAUUAGCCAUAUUUUGGAUUGUUUAUUUGUUUAUCCCCGACAGUAUAUUUAAAAUAUUUUCACAAUGAAUAUGUUUUGAGUGGAUCAUUUCAAACAAAGAAACUUCUAAAAUAUACCCUGAUGCAAUUCAAAAUUUCAAUGCGUAAUUUCAUACAACAUUAAGGACAACAUGUUACAGACGUACAAACAGUAUUUAAUCUAAACAAAAAGAGAAUCUAAUGCUAGGACAACUUUACCCGAGACACUAUUCAGUCCCAAUAAUACUUCUUUCCCAUGAAAAUACACUAGAAAUUUUAUCAUCUAGACAUGAUAAGACCUGUGAAUCUAAGGAUUUCUUCCCAAGCACAUUUGAGAUUAUCACUAAAAGAGUCUGGCAAGCAUGAAGUUCAUCGAUCUUCUGCAAAUCAGUCAGUUCCAAUGAGAGAUCCUUCCACGGCUGGUAAAACGACCUGUCCAAGACACAGUAAGUUGAAAAUAGUUUUACAGGGACCAACUAAUACAUCAAAGCUUGGGUUUAAAAAAAUGCAAAGUAUUAAAAUAUAAGAUGAAGCCAAAAGUGUGGAGCAUGAAUUCCUAUAUCCAACCAAUUUUCCAAACAUUACAAUUUUUGAAAUAUUUCUUCAUUGUUAACCGAAACUUCAUUUUUAUCCUAGGUGAAGUAACAUUUUCAGAUAACCAAUAUCAAUCAGAUCUCUGCCUGAAUACAUAAUCAAAUUUUCCAUGCAUUUCCUGUAGAAAACACAAAAAUUGAUUUAGACAAAGCCAUCACUGGAGUGGUUCAGUAGUAUUUUCUUAAAAAUGUUUUAUAAAUAUACUAAACUACAACUUUAUUUCCUUUAAAGAAGUCCAAACUACAGCUUGAAUUUUUUAAAAAGACCAUAAAGUUAUGUCAACUAAUGAAGAGGCAGAAAGACAGCUUUGAAUAUCAGUUUUGGCGAAUUUUUGGAGUGGUAUACUGUUGGGGUGUAUAUAAGCCAGGUUUUAUACUGUAUAGCUCGUACUUGAGCUUUUUAAUGCCUACUCGUCACAAUAGAUUAAUUGAAGGAGAGCAAAGUUGUCGAAACAUACUUCUGGUUCGUAAUGAUUAAAAACCCUUCAGUUCCACAUCUUGUUUAUAAAGCAGGGAAACAGAAACACACAUGAAAACACACAAAUUAAAAGAAAGAACAUGUUACCAUCUCCAACAAGGAUUAGCUUCUGCAGGGCAGUGUAUUCUUGACCACAGCGAUGCCAGGGAAGUCCUAUGACCAAGCUUAAAAGCUGAUCCUGAUUCAAUUGAAACAUGAAAGAUUAAAACCUAGAGAAAGUAUAUUUUCUCAAGAAUCAUAAAACUUGAAAAUGCAUAUUCUGUGAAGAAAUUAGAGAAGGAAAAUCCAAGCACAGUGAAUUCAGUGAACAAAUUAAAAGAAAACAACCUGUUUUUCUUUUUUCUUUUUCAUGUCAGAUGAAGUAACAAGCAAGCAAUUAAUUAAAGUUGCAUACCCGCAUAUUCUGAGACAUCAGAGAGGAGCAGAAGAGAAAGUGCAGAUAUAACAGAAGGGAGCCCUCCGCAACACAAACCAAGAAGCUGUUGGAGGUAAAAGAUUGCGGCAGCUAAUAUCUCUUUACAAUCAAAUCUACUUUUGUUGUUUUCUACACAUUUGUUUCCAAAAUCCUGGAAUAAAGAAUUCAGGGUUUCAUACGAGCUUUUUGAAAGCUUGGAACCUGGGAUGUCAAGUUUCCCAAAAAGCUUCCCUAGAAUUACUGAAGCAACAAGCCACCGUAAAAGUUUAGAAGUUAAAGACUCCUCAAAUGGUGCAUCCUCCAACAUGUUUCUCAGAUGGAGAUGGGAUUCUCUGAGUUCGUACAUCUGUCCAGAGUCGGACUUCAAGGCAGCAGAAAUUGCCCAGGUAAGAAAGCUCGAAAGCUUUACUUGGUUCUGUGAAACACAAAAGAAAAAUGCCCCCUCAUGAGAUUAAGCAUUGAAUAAGGAAUUGAAAGUUAUCAACAAUCUUGUUUCAAAAUUUUCAAGAACAAUAUUAUAUUCAGAAAAUUCAGAAUAAUACCUAGCAACCAAGCUACCAUAUAAACUUAAAGAUAUUAUUGAAAUUCUAGAUACCGUCUAGAAUUCACUACAUAUCUUGAAAUUCUGAUGCAAUGUGGAAUUCACAAUGGAAUAUUGACAGAGUAUGCAUGUAUAGGUGCAUACAAUAUGAGUGAGGGAAAGUGCAAGUGGAAGAAAGAGAGAGAAAUACCACACGGAAAAUGUCAAUGGAAGGUGAGCUCAUCAGUAUGACUUUUAGCGCAAGCUCUGCAUUUGCACCAGAUCUUGCAGUAUUAUACAUAUCCACUGCCUGACAAAUUUGAAAAAAGCUCUCAAGUGACAGUGUAAAAUGUGGCUGGUACAUUUUCCUUUUUUGUGAUAUCUUCACAGUAGAAAUAAGUAUCAGUAAUAUUGAAUUAACCAAUGGAACAUUUUCCCUCAUCAACUUCAUGCCGCCAACUAAGAGUUUGUACAAAUGAGAUGAAAAAUCCACUAGCUGUUCAAGGGCAUGCCUUUGCAACCACUCAUUGAUGUUUCUGGAUGAAAUAACAUCAUUGACGACCUAAACCCAAACACAGAUAAUAAGAGUAAGUGAAACCUCGUAUUGCGAUGAGAUGGCUAACCAUGUUAGAACAGAAGCACAUCAAACCUUUAAUAAAAUUUUGACAAAAGUCCAGCCUCGUGAGAAGGAAGAUUAACAUUCAAAUAGAUUUUAAAUUUAUAAUAUCGAUUUACAGUACAGAAAAUUCAAAUUAAUAGACGCUAAAAAGAAACAAAGAAAAAGAUAAAACGCAAUGUAAACCAAAUGUUACUUUCACAACUAACAUCAGAAAAAUUUAUCAAGCUAAAAGAGUCACAGAUGUAAAGAGGUUCAGCCCUACUUCUAAUAACACCUUUUCAAAAAAAAAAAAAAAAAUUAAGCCACCAAGAUGGUGGGGGCUAGGCCGGACCCCUACCUAGAGGGUAUAACGGCUUUGCAUGGAAAAAACCAAAUUUGAUUGGCCGCGGGGGGAAAGAAUAAUGAAAAUGAAGAGAAUUACUACUUCUAGGGGUUAUAUCUGUGACUGGGAAUAGAAUAUUCUUAGUGAAUUAUGUUUAAGUCAGGAGGUGAUCUACUUCUCUUAGAUUUCUAAUUCUUUUUCUAGUUAACAAAAUUUUGGGCAUGUUUCAUGAAAUUUUUUGAUAUCUUGGAUGUUAUGCUUUUUAGUUUGUUUACUUUACCAGUGCUCUCUUGAGUAUUCCCGUGUUCUAGGUUCGCAAUGCCACUAGAUACUAGUAUUUCAAUCAAUCUUUCCACAAACAUACUAGAAGAUUUCCCAAGAUACUCAAGAAUCCAAAAAUAUCUUCCAUUAUAAAAUUUUAGCCCUCCUCACUGCCUCCUUCCCUCCAACCACUUGAUUUUUUUUAUUUUUUUUACUUACCCAGAUUUCAGUGCCAUGACAUAUAUCAAUGAACCCAAAAAUAAAACAGAUCACAAAAAAUGAAAAAGGGUAAGCAACUGGGCCAAAAAUGUUAGGACCUAAAAGAGAGAACUAAACAAAAACAAUGAAUACCUCUACAACCACAAUCAACUGUGCCAUGAGAAACAUUUUUUCACCUCCAAGAAGCAUCCCACUGAAACUUGACAGUAAAGAUGAUAACCAUGAAAAUAAACCACAGUGUUCAACCAGAUAACAAGCCAUCUUGUGCAAUUUAAUUGACUUCUUUAGUAUCUGAAAAGCAAACAAGACAAGUAGUUUAGUUUACCAUAUUCCAGUUUGUAGGAGACUGAGAAAUAUGCAAAACUGAUAGAUUAAAGUACAAGUGCAAUUCAACAUCAAAGUUUAUUAGCAUUCGAAUCAAAGCAGAUUCAAUACCCUGCCCUCAAGCAUGACAAUAAGCCAGUUAGAAAAUUAAGAAUAAGCUGAUUACAUGCAUAUUGUUAUGAUAGAUAGAUAGGUAGGUAGAUAGAUGAAGAAGGGGGNNNNNNNNNNNNNNNNNNNNNNNNNNNNNNNNNNNNNNNNNNNNNNNNNNNNNNNNNNNNNNNNNNNNNNNNNNNNNNNNNNNNNNNNNNNNNNNNNNNNNNNNNNNNNNNNNNNNNNNNNNNNNNNNNNNNNGGGGGGGGGGGGGGAGAUUAGAGAACAUGAAUCAUCAUAAUGAGCUCAGAAAUUACCAGAAGAAUAAGUUCCUUUGACUCACUAUCUGACAGCGGAGAAGCAUAGAAACUCAUUAGAAUCUCAAGAACAGAGUUCCUGAUAUAUACUUGAGCAUCGUCAUCUAAAUUCAGCCCUGCAUACAAGAGACGAAGCAUCCACAGCCUCUCUUUUCUAAAAUUGACAGAACUACUCGAGAAAAAGUCAUGAAAUAAUGGUAUAGACUGCCAACAAAAACGAAGUGAAUAUGAAACAAAGUUAAUCAUUGUACAUAAGUAAAGAAUACAAAGCAAACUGAGGAAAAGGAUUUGCAAAGCAUAUACCUUCAAAUUCACCCUGGAAGAGCGCAUCAAGAGCUUACUUACGCUUGUGUAAUGAUCAUGCGAAGGAUCCAACAAUAAGAGAGAUGCCUCUGCAGCAAAAAUAGCUAUAACAGAAGGGAUCCUCUGCCAUGGCUCUUCUAUUCCAUUUUGCACGUAUGUCAACAGAAGUCGAAGUCGCAUUACGUCUUUCUUCUUUGAACACUUCUGUAAAAGACAGUUUGAGUUUGAGCAACAAACUUCUUCAGCAAAAUUAUAAUCCAGGAAGGAAAAGCAACAAUUUCAAAAGAAAAAGUUGUGUUUAUGUGGAAGUGCAGAAACGAAAACCAUGCACUAGGAUGAAAAGCCUCCAAUUCUUGAAUUUCAUGAAUUGCAGAGCAUUGAAUGAAGAGCAAUAAUGGAUCAAAACAAGAAGCAUUGUAAUCAUAAUGUAAAUAGAUCAGUGUCUUAAGCAUCAAUGGAUAAACAAAGAGGCAAACAAAGAGGCAAAAAUUUUCUCUUUAUUAGAUGCUAGUAGCCUCUAUAAAUGUGUACAAUUUUAUUAUUUGAAUACAACUGAAGAAUUAUUCUCUUCUAAAAAACUAAAAGAUUGAUUUAGUUUGAUCAAGUAUGAUGACCAGAUAUGCUUUCUGCCUGUUUGUCAGGAAUUUCCCAGAGGUUACUCUUAAGGCUAAUGAAUAAUCUUAAAAGGAAAUUGCUAUAAUCCAGAUGUUAUUGUUGCCCCUGGAAACUGAACAGUCAUGGGGUAAUUAACCAUUGUAAUUUAUAGAAGGAUAACAAACAGACAUACAGAAAAAUUUCUGCAGUAAUAUGACUGAAGAACCUAUGUAUUGAAAAACUCUUAUAAUGCAAAAACACCCACAAGCACAGAUAUAGCAUUACCUCCAGUUCAUUCUUAAAUCUCCCAAGAGUUUCAUAGCCCAACUUUCUCAUUCCAACAUCAGGUGAAGAAAUACUAACAAAUGCAACUGCAAGCAAGCCUAAACCGGCAAACUCCACAGGUUCUAUGAAACCCACUGACAAGCUAUGAAUUGCAAAGCGCAAGAUGAAAACAGGAUCAUAUCGCUGCAAAUCUUGAAGGUCAGGAGAAUGUAUCUACAUAAAAUCAAAAGAAUAAUUUAAAUCAUUUGAGAGCCAAGGCAGAUGAAAAAGUUCAAAUCAAUUGAAGCUGCACCUUCAAAUUCUAAUUCAAGUAAUGCAAAACAUACCUCGUGUGUAUUCCAAAGGUUAUCUGCUUUAAGCUUGUUUGAGGAUGAAGGUCCAUCAGUGGUUCUAUCAUAGGGAAAGUAUAGCACUGUCAUUGCACAUAUUUUGGGGUCAAUGGCAAGGUUUUCCCUAAACUGACUUCUUUUCUGUUCUUUAGCUGCUUCAGCGUCUGUCAUUAUAUUACAAGAUGUAUCCUGCUCCAAGAUCCAUUCUUUUCUUACUUUUGCAGCAGCCCUUCCCCAAAGGUAAUCCAAUUGAGCAAUUUCAUUGUCCGAAUUUUCAAUACGUUCAAUCUCAUGCAUAACAUCAUAUAUCUCCAUGUCAAUGUCACUAAGUGUUGCACCAUAAGAAGCCAAAAGCAGCAAACACAAUUCCCUAAGAUUUAUAUCACUAUCCCUUCCAAAAUCAGCACCACACGGAUGGGCCUUGAAUUGAAGGAGCGUUUUAAGUAACUUAACAACUUCUAACUGACUCUGAUACAGCUCAGUUGUUUUCUUAUCAUUCUUUUCAUCAGCAUUUUGAUUAAAAUGAUGGAUGACAAGAAAUCUCAGAAUGCUGGACAUAGGCCUCAAAAGUACACCACCCCCUGCAUUAGAUGCUGCAGAGACAGACUGGAUGGAAGUGGCAAAUUGGGAAUGGGCAAGGAGCAACUGAAGAUAUAAACCACAUGAAAAUUUCCCCUCCAACAGCAAAGUUAAAAUACUCCGAAGCAUUUUCAGAGUUGUAGAGUCCUCGAAUCUAUAGAAAAGUGCUGAUCUGAUCAAUUGCUCUAGGAAAGGAAUAGAUUGAAGUUCAAUAAGACCUUUGCUCAUCUUUGAGACUAAUUCGAAAAUACUUCUCAAAAUGAAUACUUCCAAGUAUUUAUAUAAUGACAAAACAUUUGCGCUCUUAUUUCUUUCAAAAUCCUUAGAGAUUGAAGGUAAUUUCAUAACCAUCCAUUGCCAACUACCCACCAAAAUAUUCAUAAACCGCAUUCUCGAUGAGUUCUGAUCAUCAGAUCCUGACUUCAAAGAAAUCCCCUUCAAGCCUCCCUCUGCUGCCUUUGGGAGAAACUGAACCUGAUCAUCUUCUGGAAAUAGCAACAUCCUACAAAGUGAUACUUUAGCAACAACUCUAUUAAUAUGGUUUAAUGACUGCUUAAAGGAGUUAGACUUCACUUCAUUAAUAUCAAAGUCUAGUAGCUCAUUCUGUGCACCAGAACAAGGAAAAAUGGAAUUGAAAAGCUUGAUUAACUUCUUUGUUUUCAAAGAAUCUCCAUUCAAGGCAAAAUGAUAAUGCAACAAAAGGACUGUUUUCCCAAGAAGACUGCCAUUGACAAGAUUGAGAAGUUCUUCAGUAGAUGAUGGAAAGAACCCAUCAUAUUCUUCCUGGAAUAUGUAUCCAGACACAAAGCUCUUCCAAUUGCGGAAACCACUUAACAGCAUCCUUGAAUAAAAAGACAGAAUAUCCAUAAGAUGUUUGUGAUACUGCUUCUCGAAUUUCAAAAAAUUCAUAUUCAAGUAUGAUAAAGCAGCAGGAAGAAGCAUCAUGAACUCCUCAUCUGAAAAAGCAUAGCCACAGGUCCACAUCUGACUGCCAGUAAGAAGUGAAUCCUUGUUUAAACUACCUACAAGCAAGUUCCCAAACACUGACAAAUGCAUGGGGCUCAUCUUGGUGAAUAGAAACAAUACUUUAGCUUUUGUCAUAGUUGUUCUAUAAACACAAUGAGAAAUCAUUUCUAUAGGAGUUUUUACUAUGACCCUCGACAUGAUCAAGUUUAGUGGAUGAACACUUUGCAUAUAGUUCUGACUGUAGAUGCAAUUUACAAUUUUCAGCAAGCAUGUAUCUGCCAAACCCAAAUCAAAAUUAAUGGCAAGCUUGCAUACUUCAAUAUAGAUUUCCUCAAUGUGGUUAACACCAAAGCUGUUCUCUUCAGUUUCCCAUAGCAAAUUAUAAGAUGCUAUCUUCUCGACAGGCUGUUGUAAGUAAUUGGACAGAGCUUCAAAAGUGCCACCAGCAAUGCAAAAUCCAACAGACAGUGCAUAUACAUUGCAUGAUUUGCAAAUGGACAUUUCAUUCACAUCAACUUUACGGAACAUCCAAUGAACUAAUUCAAGAAGCUUGAGUGGAGAUAUAAAUCUUAUCAAAGCAUGCAAAGCAUAAAAUGCUGGAAGCAGGGGUAACACAUCUUCAGUUGCAAUGCACAGAUCAAACUUAUCCCUAAGCUCCAGAAAAAGCCUCCGCACUAGGGUAUUGAAAGCUUUCACAAGUGACUUGCAGACACCAUUGUCGACUUCUAAUAUGGUAUAAUGGUCUGUGCAUGAAGAAAACAAGUGGUCUAGAGUUGCAGUCAGCAUAUCGAGGACAUGACGGUCUAUCUUAUGAACACUUUGCUGAGUUAAGCUCAAAAAAGUCUCCAAAUUGUGCCCUAAGUUUCCCAAUGGCGAUUCCAGAUCACAGCUCAAAGGAGAGGACAAUGAAGCAAACACUGCAGGAUGGCAGAGUACAGUUUCAGCCACUUCCCACACAUUCUCUGCUGACAAAUGGAGGCCAACAGUUUUAGGGUGUCCAGGAUUAGGCUUCAAAACCAACAGUUGAGUAAAUACAUUCUUCAUCAGAACUAUGCAAAUUUCAGAAAGUUGUAGGAGUUCAGCUGUAGGUUCAUCUCUAUAAGAUGACUGUAUCUGAAAAAAGCAAAAUAGCACAAGACGCAGAUAGGAAAUGAGACAAUCACUUCUCCAAUCAGACAAUUUAUCCAAAAGCAAGUCUUGUACUUUUGAGGGUUCUGAUAAAUAAGGAGCACCAACAGUCAUAAUUGCAGGAAAUAUCACAUGGAAAGGUGCCUGUUUCAAAAAGAAACUAAGCGCACCAGCAGCAGACUCAUUUGCAUCAAAAUCAAUGUUACACAGCACUUCUUCAUCAAAUGAAGAAUGAGUAGGAAUUCUACAGACGUCAAAUUCUCUGACUUCAUGACGAAUCGUGGAUACAGCAAUUUCCAGACCAGAAAAAAACAUUUCAGGCCAUAACUUAGAAGCAUUGGCAAGAAAACUUUGUUCAAGAAAAAUCAUUGAUGGCAAUAGGGAGGCAGGAACUCCAAGAAGGUUAUGAGAAAUAGUCAUAACCAAAGGAAAACUCUUCAACAGCUCAUCAGGUGUUGUACACAACACUGCAGAAGAAAAGGCUUUGGUAAUUCCAGCUAUUUCAAUAGUAGUCCCACUGCUUAAUUUUUUUUUUACUUCACUAAGUAUAUUCACAAAAGAACCAUCAGUAGGCACAGCUUUUUUGUCAAUCAAAAACAUGCAACAACCUUGUUGACUGGAUAUACCCAGGGAGAAGAGAAAUAAACUUUUCAAUGGCCUCCACUCGCAUAAAUAAUCUCCAGAAUCAUCAUCCGCUGAACAUCGAUCCUUGAGUCCCUCAGACAAAAUUGAUUCAAUCAGAACAGCUAGUGAUCCCGCAUCUACCUAUCAAAAUUAAAUUCUCAUAUUAUCUCACAUACGAGAAGUAUGCAAUUAUAAUCAAAAACAGAAUACGCGUACCUGAGUUUGCAGAAGAUAUUUCAAUGUAUUGCUCACAUAUAAUGAUAUCAUGGACUUCUCCAGCAAUGAAAAUGUUCCAGAUUCAGAAUUGAGUAAUCUUAUACACUUCUGCAGGACGCAUAUGAUGAGGGGGCUGAAAUCAGGAGAUAAAUCUGUUAAAGAAAGAGAAAAUCAGUAAAGAAAUGAGGCAGCAUCUAGAAUAAAGUUUAUGAGAAGCACAUAGAACCUGAACAAGGAUCAUUUUUCCUUCAACAUUUAUUUUAAAGGACAUGAUCUGCUUUUAGGACCAUAAAAAGUACAGCCAGAAAUUUGGAAAAAAAGAGGAGAGAAAACGAGUUCUUUUGCAAAACAUUUCUUUUAAUAUAACACUUUUAAAUAGAACUAGUCAAAUGUAUCAAGUAAGAUCACUGGAAUUAGAAUGAAUUGAAAGUUGGAAAGCCCAAAAAGAACAAUCUUUCAGCCAAAUAAUUCUUCAAAGGGUUUAAAAAACACUCUAAUAGGCCAACAGCCCUGACUUGAUCUCUGAUCAAUUUCCUGUAUGAAAAUUCAUCAAGCCACGCCCAUAAUCAACAGCUCACGUCAAUACAACACCCAGGUAAGAUGCAGCAAGAAAUGAAAAAAGUAUAAAUUUACAGUUCAUUUCUAAAAGUACAACUACAAGUAUAAGACAAUGUAUUACAUAUAGGAAAGAAAGUGUAUGAAUUACUGACUACCUUUAAAACCAUUCAAAUGAGUAUGAUGCUCAACAGUAGCCCAAAAUUUGAAUACGUUAUUCCCAACUGUAGAAAUGGCAUCACAUAAGAAUGAGAUAACAACUCGAGACAAGCUCUGUAGUACUGCUAACCCUUGUUCCUCAAUACACCACUUAUUUCUAUUAUAACCCGGCAAAAAUAAGAACCAUGUGCCAAUUUCAUUUAUGUUUCUGUCAAAUGCACCAGUACUCAACAUGGCUGCUUGAGCCAGAUUAUAUGCUUGAUGCUUUAUCUCACUAAUUGGUGAAAAAAUUAAUAAGUUAACAAAUGGCUGAAGAUGUUUGUACAUCAGUUGUGGCAUUCUAACAGGGAUUCCACUCCUUGUAGGCCAAUCAACAUAUUCAAUCAGCAGUGACAGUAUAGAGCACUGCAGAUUAGUUGGUAAUGCUAAAGGAUCAGUGAGAAGAUUCAUGAAAAAGUCAAAUGAUCCCUCCAAAACAGUAGGCAUCAUCCGCUGCACAAGACAAGACAAAAAAUUAUUUAAGAACUUACGCUAGAAAAUAGUUAAUGAUUGACACAAAGAUUCAAACAAAACCAGAAAAAAUCCAAGCCAGAAAUUGAGGUUACCAAUUUGUUAUAGAAUUAGUAUGAGAAGAUAAUUUUAACAGCAGAAGGGUUCAUUUCAAUGAGAUUGCAUAAGUACUUUGAAAGAACAUUGGAGAAGUUGACGAUCAUGAACAAUGGUGGUAGUUGAAGAAAGCUCGGAUAUGAAGAAUAUCCCAAAGACCCCCCAUCCUGACAUAAUCUGUUAACAACAAGACAAAGAGAAUUGAAACUUACAAGAUAAAACUUGAGAGUAUCAAGAAUCUUUGACUGGAAGUAUAUAUCUGCAUCAUUGAGAGCAAUGGCAGGCUUGGAGCAAAGAUUCAAACCCCAAAUUUCCAAAAUUGCACUCAUUAACUCCUUUUCAGUAUCCACACCAUCCACAAUAAUUGUAUCUGAAAUAUUUUCACUGCCCUUCGGUAUAGUAAUUUGAGCAUCCACAUUCAUCCCACUAAUAAUAAUAUCUGUAUCCUCAUUCAGGAGGGUAGUUUUUAAUUUCUUCCUCCCUUUGCUCUUACAUUCUAAAACAUGUGCUGAUUCAGCUUUUCUCUUCAAAUGUGACUCACGUACUCUACUUUGGCUACUUCGCGAGGAAAGGAGAGUCAACAAAACUUGCGGAUCAGGAAGCAAAGUUCGGACUUCAUUCUGAACCUCUUGAAUAAGAGAUGCCCAAUUUUGCAUGAUUUGAUUGCUAGAACAAGAACUAUGGUGUAAAGCACUUAUGAAGGAAUCCAACAACUUUAGUGCCUCCAGAAGAAGCCUUAAAGUUCCAUGCUUCACAAGAACAUCAAAGUGAAGCAACCCCUUGUUGAUUACCGACCGGCUGAAUGGUCGAGGACAUAUGCAACUCAAGAUACUCUGCACAUCAGGAUUAUCUAUGGAAGGGGAAUCUUGAGAUUGCGUAUCAAGGAAAUCAAAACAAAGGCCCAUGCCAACUGAGGAGAGUAGGUUUGCUGCCAGAGAAACACUUGCAAACCUGCAAGUGCAUCAGUUAGCACACAGAUGUGGAGGAACAUGAGAAAGAGAAAUAAUAAUCAAACAAUCAGCGGAAAGGUCAAUAGAUCAUGCAGCAAUUUAUAGAAAGCUGACCAGUUAGGUGAUGAAAAAUCUUCAAGGUUGUAAGGGAAUUCACUCAUGUAUGCUGAGGCCAAGGACGGUCUCCCUUGAAGAAUAGCCAAAAGUAGAUCUCUAUGAUAACUGAUCUCUGUUGCUUUUAGCUUCUUCAUAAGCCCCAGUAAUCUCUUUGGAUUACCCCUUAAUGGAUUUGGUUGUCUCUUCAAAUCCGACAUCAAACCAUUGCAAGGAUCAGUGCAGACAGUAACUAGAACACUGUGGGCUAACUCUGCAGUGGGCCCACCAUUCUCCCUACCAGAGAUACCGAUUAACUGUUCCAGAGUAACACUCCCGAAGAGAACACUCCGAAGACCUGGGGGCACUAAUGAAUCUUCUGUAAUGACCCUAUUUUGCAAUGUAGACAAGACAUAAACAACAAUCUCGUCUUCAUCAUUCCCAAGUCCACGAAGCACACCAGAAUACAUUUCCUUCUGUUGAAGGAUCCACCUCAAUAAUCCUGGUUUCCCUACCUCCAAAAAUGCCAUUGCAAACCUGACAAAUGACUUCCUUGUCAAGUGCUUCCUUUUCAUGUCACUCCCCCUCCGUUUAUACUCUGCAAGCUUUGAAAAUACAGGAAGCUUGAAAUCAAAUUUCUUUGCAACCUCAGAAGCCAACCCUGAGCCACGUCUAACAAUUGAUGCCAUUAGCAAAAGCGCUGCAUUUUGGCGCUUCCCUUCUUUGCUGUUCAAUUCCUUAUAUAUGUCAUCCAUCUUUUCAUCAAUAAUCAUUCGAGCAAACUUAUCGAUAACCCUACUAAUAGCAAUUCUUUCCUUAUCAUUCAGUGCAUACAUUCCAUCAGGAUGACUCAGAAUAGCAGAAAUUAACGAAAAUAUAUAUAGCAUCCCUGGUUUUCCUUGUCGUAGCUGCCAUGCUUCCAUAAGCUCCGAAAACCUAUUGGAAGUGUGCACAUAUAACCGCAGCAAUUCACCUCCAGAAUCCCCUUUCAGUAACUUGAUAAACUCCUUGAUAGCAUCUGCACAUAUUUUUAUUUCCAGUGCAUUUAUAUUAUGUAGCAGUUCUUUGAGUUUAGCUUCUUGGUUCACUUUGAAAACAAAUUUUGGAAAUUCUUCUUCCUCCACGUCACUCUCCUCAUUAUCAUCAUCUAACAUAUCUGCGAUUAAUAGAAAAAACACAAUUAAGCAAUUUGGUACACUUUCAUCAUAUCAAAAAUAACUUCAAAUAACUAGUUUUUCAAGUUAUCAAUCAAACAUUAUUUUCUGUUUGAUGGAUGACUGAGAGGGCAAUAAAACCAAUAAGUAUAAAAUAAAAUUAAGAGGAAAAAAAUUUAGUUAGAGGCUCUGAUGCAGCUAAUUAACUACAACUCGAGGGAAUGACUACAACGAAAAUUGAUUGAAUCAUCACAAAAACCCAAAUGUGAGACUUUUUUUUUUUUUUACUACAACGUGAUACGGAAUUGUGUGAAAAGAAGCCCAAAUGUGAGACUUUUUUUUUUUUUUGUGAUACGGAAUUGUGUGAAAAGAAGCAUUGGACCUUUAACAGCUGAUAGUGAGCUGGGUUCAUCCAUUGACGAGAGAAGAGGAUUUUUCAGCUAUUAAUGUCCGAAUUUAUUAUUUAGGGUUUAAGGAAAGGAUUAGGGUUUUAGGAGGCUUUGUCAUGUUAGAAAAUGGAGAAGCUCGGCUACAGAUGAUUUCAAGUCUCAAAAUUGGGCCAAGGCCAUGAAUCCUCGAGCCCAAUAACAUCGGCUCACCCUAUCACAAACCCGCGAGUCAUCUCUCUCCACGUGUCCCUCGCCGAAUGUCCCUAUAAAAUGCCAACGUAGCUCGAGAUUUCCACCUCUAGUUCUCGCAUUACCCUCUCUUCUAGGGCUCAGUUUACCCUCUUCAUCGGAUCUCGAAAAUCAAUUAAUAACGCUUUAGUAAUUGAUAUAACGAUGAUGCAACAACCGCCAUCACAGCCUUCCGAUCAGACUAGCCAGUACCAGCAGCAACAUCAGCAGUGGAUGGCGUAUCAACAGCAGUCGCAGCAGCAGCAACAACAACAUCAAACUCCGGUGCCACCUCCGGUUGGAUGGACUCCGCAGCCGGUGCCUCCUCCAUCUCAGCAGACGCAGCCCUACGGUGUCGCCCCCGAUGCUUCCUCCGACGGGAUCCGUUCUUUGUGGAUCGGAGACUUGCAGCCGUGGAUGGAGGAGAGUUAUAUCGCCAGCAUCUUCGGCCAUACUGGAGAGGUAAUAGCAAGUAUAACGAUGCUUUGUAAAGAUUUGCUGAUGGUAAAAAUUUGACUGUGUUAAGUUUACAUGGAUAACGAAUUAUGUAACUUUUGAAUGGGGUCAUCGCAUUUACGGUUUCUAUCCUCUGGAUUAGGUCUAGCAUCUGUGACUUAAUGUUAUCACUCAGUGUGGGUGUUUGCAGCUUUUCAAUUAACGAAUUAUUGGAACAAUUUUUUAUUAAUCCAGUACCUUUUUUCAGAUAUCUAAACCUAAUUAAAUCCAAAUCCUUAUCAAAACUUUGCAUAAUUACAUUUGAUGCGUUAUCUGCCAAAUUGAUUGGCUCAUUAUUGAGAAGGCAGCCCAAGUUUUUUAUAAAACAUUCUGACAGUAUUGUAUUUAUUUCAAAAACAAUCUGAAAAUUGAAUGAUGUAUUAUAUGAUCAAUUUAUGUUGAUUCCUAAAACACUGUGAUUAUGAUUCAGAAGCUGCUGUUAAUUGAUUUGCUUAAUGAAUUUUUGGUUCCAAAAGCUUAUUUUAUGUUAUAAUAUACAGAAUGGUUUUAUCUUAAAUUGAUCAAUAGGGUCGCAAGAUAUCAUUUGCUGGUAACAAUGCACAUAUCAUGUCAUGGAGAUCUGUGAAUAUGUUUGAAGCGCAGACAUGGUAGAAUAUGAUGGUCAUCAACUGUCUGGACCCAUGGUAGCAUGCUACUUGUGUGAUAAUUUUUUAUUCCUUCGAAGACUUGACUUUGAUUCUGGAACAAUUUUUUCCCCCCUGGAAGAGGGCACAAGGAUAUAGGCUUUUGCAAUAUUUCGUGAGGAAUUGGAUGAUUUUUCAGGCUUUUUUUUUUUGGGCUAUGCGGGGAGGUUUUGGUUUUGGGAAUCUUCAUAAUCCAGAUUUUUCAUUUUUGAUGAAUUGAUUGUUAGCUUUUAGCUCUUCCUUGAAUUGUCUGACUGCUUGUUCAUCUUCUUUGUAUCCUUUAAUCCAAUGAUUUUUAAUGAAGUUCCUUUUCUGUUGUUAUUAAACAAAGUGUAUGUGUUAUAUAUGUUAUGUUUGGGGAUGUGUACGUCUCUAACUAUGGAGUAUCCUGUUUUGUUUGUAUGUAAGUUGUGUGUUUGGUUUUCUUAUUUAAUUGAAUAAUCAAUUGUGGACAUGUAUAAUAAAAUAACUGUACGAGUGUGUGGCUGUGUAGUCAAUGUUAAUUUAUGAUAGUGGUUAUACACAAAUGGAUCAUCCAAACAUAAAAUAUAUAAAAUAUUUGAGAUUCAAAUUAUUGUAUUACAUGGCAUGUUUUCUUCCUUGUCUACCUCUCUUCCCGACUGUUUUAUUGAGUGUUGCUUAGAGACAUGUUUGUUUGCUUACAGUUUGUUUCAGGAAAGGUUAUUCGCAACAAGCAAACAAAUUUUUCAGAGGGUUAUGGUUUUAUUGAGUUUGUUAGUCAUGCUGCUGCAGAGAGGGUUUUGCAGACUUUUAAUGGCACCCAAAUGCCAAGCACUGAGCAAAACUUCAGACUGAAUUGGGCAACCUAUGGGGCUGGUGAGAGGCGUCAAGAUGAUGGUCCUGAUUUUACAAUUUUUGUGGGAGAUUUGGCUGCCGAUGUAACUGACUAUGUGCUACAAGAAACAUUUAGAGCUGUCUACUCGUCAGUGAAGGGUGCUAAAGUGGUCACUGAUAG